UACGGAGGGUGCAAGCGUUAAUCGGAAUUACUGGGCGUAAGGCGCACGUAGGUGGUUUGUUAAGCUAGCUGUGAAAUCCCCGGGCUCAACCUGGGCACUGCAGUUAGAACUGGCAAGCUAGAGUAGGGUAGAGGGGUGUGGAAUUCCUGGUGUAGCGGUGAAAUGCGUAGAUAUCAGGAGGAACACCCGUGGCGAAGGCGAAUCUCUGGACCG
rnacentral:rRNA from 1 species